rnacentral:rRNA from 1 species
GCCGCGGUAAGACGUAGGGCGCGAGCGUUGUCCGGAUUUAUUGGGCGUAAAGAGCUCGUAGGCGGCUUGUCGCGUCGUCUGUGAAAUCCCGCGGCUCAACUGCGGGUCUGCAGGCGAUACGGGCAGGCUAGAGUUCGGUAGGGGAGACUGGAAUUCCUGGUGUAGCGGUGAAAUGCGCAGAUAUCAGGAGGAACACCGGUGGCGAAGGCGGGUCUCUGGGCCGAUACUGACGCUGAGGAGCGAAAGCGUGGGGAGCGAACAGGAUUAGAUACCCUGGUAGUCCACGCUGUAAACGUUGGGCGCUAGGUGUGGGGGACCUCUCCGGUUCUCUGUGCCGCAGCUAACGCAUUAAGCGCCCCGCCUGGGGAGUACGGCCGCAAGGCUAAAACUCAAAGGAAUUGACGGGGGCCCGCACAAGCGGCGGAGCAUGCGGAUUAACUCGAUGCAACGCGAAGAACCUUACCUGGGUU